rnacentral:rRNA from 1 species
GAGAGUUUGAUCCUGGCUCAGGAUGAACGCUGGCGGCGUGCCUAAUACAUGCAAGUCGAGCGAACAGAUAAGGAGCUUGCUCCUUUGACGUUAGCGGCGGACGGGUGAGUAACACGUGGAUAACCUACCUAUAAGACUGGGAUAACUUCGGGAAACCGGAGCUAAUACCGGAUAACAUAUUGAACCGCAUGGUUCAAUAGUGAAAGGCGGCUUUGCUGUCACUUAUAGAUGGAUCCGCGCCGUAUUAGCUAGUUGGUAAGGUAACGGCUUACCAAGGCAACGAUACGUAGCCGACCUGAGAGGGUGAUCGGCCACACUGGAACUGAGACACGGUCCAGACUCCUACGGGAGGCAGCAGUAGGGAAUCUUCCGCAAUGGGCGAAAGCCUGACGGAGCAACGCCGCGUGAGUGAUGAAGGUCUUCGGAUCGUAAAACUCUGUUAUCAGGGAAGAACAAAUGUGUAAGUAACUGUGCACAUCUUGACGGUACCUGAUCAGAAAGCCACGGCUAACUACGUG